rnacentral:rRNA from 1 species
GAUGAACGCUGGCGGCGUGCUUAACACAUGCAAGUCGAACGGGAAACCUUUUAUUGAAGCUUCGGCAGAUUUAGCUGGUUUCUAGUGGCGGACGGGUGAGUAACGCGUGGGUAACCUGCCUUAUACAGGGGGAUAACAACCAGAAAUGGUUGCUAAUACCGCAUAAGCGCACAGGACCGCAUGGUCCGGUGUGAAAAACUCCGGUGGUAUAAGAUGGACCCGCGUUGGAUUAGCUAGUUGGCAGGGUAACGGCCUACCAAGGCGACGAUCCAUAGCCGGCCUGAGAGGGUGAACGGCCACAUUGGGACUGAGACACGGCCCAGACUCCUACGGGAGGCAGCAGUGGGGAAUAUUGCACAAUGGGGGAAACCCAGAUGCAGCGACGCCGCGUGAAGGAAGAAGUAUCUCGGUAUGUAAACUUCUAUCAGCAGGGAAGAUAGUGACGGUACCUGACUAAGAAGCCCCGGCUAACUACGUG